GUACGGUAGAACGGGGAACACGA
rnacentral:miRNA from 1 species